rnacentral:lncRNA from 1 species
GACUUCAGCACCACCGGAGACAGCAGAGCCACAGAGGGCCUGCAGGGAGGAGUUAGAGGCGGAACUACACCAGGCCUGAGGCAGGGAGAGGCUGGGAGAAUGCCCUGGUUUCUCCUUGUCCCCCUUUCUUUCCCAUUAGCCAAACACAGCCUGAAUCCAGCUGAGGAGGGACUGUGAAAAACUGCCCAGAAGGCCUGCCUUCCUGCAGCACAGGGCAGGAAAACCCAGAGGACUAGAUCUGACAACCAGCAGGCACGGGAUCUCUCUACUUAAGCCUAGCUGUGCUGGAAAUCAUGUGGACAGACUGGCCUUGAACUCGAAGAAUUGCCUUCUGUCUGCCUCUCCUUCUUGAGUAAUGGGAUGAAAGAAAUCUAAGUCAAACGGGAGCCUUACUCUAAGGAGUACAUGAUUUCCGCCUCCACGGAUGAAGACACAGAAGGGCAAGCAGAAUCUAUGUGGCACAGAGAGAAGGUGAGCGGUUAUCCGAGGAUGAGGUAGGUCUGGGGAUCAGUGAGGACGUGUUGGGAAUUAUGGGAAGUUUUAUAGAAACAGAACAAAGAAAGUCACAAGUGAAGAUACAUUUUGAAUAUGUUGGUGGGUACACUGGGUAGUAUGUGUGUAUGGCAACAAAAUGGGGACCCUCUGCCAGAGGCCUGGGUUGUUACUGAUGACUUUCUUAGCCUUUGGGUUGGUGGAAGCUGGGGAUCUGAUCUUACACUCCAAAAGAAUCUAACUACCAGUUACGGGCAAGUUAGAUCAUAAACAGAGGUAGGCAAUAAAUAGCUCUUAGGGCCUAAUUAUAGCCCAAGAUGAACUAUAAUUUGGCUCCUAAUUGUAGUUAGGGCUUGAAACACUUUACCUCUUCACAAUCAUUGAAAUUCUAAUCUGUUAAUCAGCCUUUAAAGAGGGUUCAAUAGUGGGUACAGUUUUGUUUUGGAAACUUUUGUUCACAAUACAUAAAAGAACAUUCUCAUUUUACAGCUGCCUAAUCUCUUGUCACAAGGACAGACCACAGUUUAUAUAGCCAAUUCCCUACUGAUGGACAAUGUGGUCUUUUAAAAAGCAGUUUCUUUAUUCUCAAUAUUUGUUUUUAGACUUUUGUGUAUUAAUGCUUUGCCUGCAUGCAUAUCUGUGAUCCAUAUGCAUGACUGGUACCCUCAGAGGCCAUAAGAGGCAUCAGAUCACCUGAGACUGCAGCAGCAGAUGGUUACGAGUCAUCAUAGCGGUACUGGGAAUUUAAUCUGGGUCCUCUGGAAAAGUGGUACAUCCUCUUGACCACUGAGCCAUCACUUCAGCCCCUGAUGCUAGAAAUUUUAAUGGAAAUUUAUUUUUAUGACUUUGAAGGUGAUGGAAUGCUUUCUUGUUUGGUUGCCUAAUGGCGCUGAGUAAAUAUUUUCACUGGCCUAUGGUUAAUUUUUGUCCUAACAAUAUCCCAAGCUGGCCUUGAAUUCACCAUGCCAAACACUAUAGGGCAUCUUCUUAUUUAGUGAUUGAUGUGGGAGGGUCCAGCCCACCAUGGUGGGCUUGUGGUCCUGAUCCUAUAAUAAAGCAGCCAUCAGAAGCAGAGGAAGCACCACUCUUCCUUCCAUGGCUUCUGCACCAGCUCCUGUCUCUCGCUUGCUGCUUGUUUGAGUUCCUGUCCUGAUUUCCGCCAGUGAUGAACUGGGAUAUGGAAGCAUGACUCAUGGAAACCCUUUUCUCCCCAAUUUGCAUUUGCUCGAGGUGUUUCUUCACAGCAACCCUGACUCAGACAGACAAAAAAAAAAAAAAAAAAAAAAAAGUCUCCUUCACUACUGCUCUUAGCCAGUGUUCACUUGCAGAUCUUGUUUGAAUGAAGAUUCCCACACAGAAUGUGGUCUGAGGUUCUAGGUUUUGGAGACAUUCCUCAGUAGCUCAAGGUGGCUGGUGUGCCACCAUGACUUGCUGUUCGUUGAUCUGCAUGCUUUUUCCUUUUUCUUCUUCUCAAAGAAGGAAACCUCCACAUGACUCACCGAGCUGCUUUGUGCAAGCAGAUAUCAGUUGUCACUGUCCGUGAUGAGAACAACUUGUUAGAACACUAAAAAAAAUAAAGUGGGCAAACCAGUUUAUUAACCUACUGAGUUAGUCAUCCCUGGUGAUGACUUUUUCCUCAGUCCUUGACUCAAAACCGGUGGAAGUUCUUUGCUUAGGAACCUCAGAAUGUCUGUCAGACGGUAAUAUCAGGAGUCUCCAUGAAAGCGACACAGGCUCAGGACCUUCACCACAGUUUUUUCUCUUUUUCUUGAAGAUAUCUCCAGGUCUUGGUGUAAAUGAGGACUCUUCCCAUGGCCUGAGCGUCUUUCUUCCAUCCUUCAAAGCCAUGGCUACAGGGCAGCUCCCAGAUGAACUUGUUCCUCAUGGGAGAGAACAAACAGCUGUAAGUCAGGAGGAGUGGAAAAAAUUCGCCCAAGUCUUACCCACAAAUUGGCUCUGCGGAAGCACCCCAGAGCACUCCCAAAGCAUUUGUGCCAGGUUCCCUGGGCUGCUGGGUUUACUUGAGAAAUUUUAAAAUGCCUUUUGUGUGUUUAUUCUUUGACAAUUUUAUACACAAAUGCAAUGCACCCUGGCCACACUGUUGUCUUUUAAAUAUUUAUUUAUU